GCCUUGGUGACCACUUGCAUUACUUAUUCUUAUGUACACCUUCUCCCGUGCCACCCCUUGUCUGAAAGCCCCUCUGUUCCUCUCAAGCUGGAAACCUUCCUAAGGAGGAGACUGACCACGGAACUGUAGUUCCAGAGGUCCUAGAAAGAAAUGCAGCUAGCUGCUGGAUGCUGGAUGCUGGAUGCUGGAUGCUGGAUGCUGGAUGCUGGAUGCUGGAUGCUGGAUGCAGGAUCUCCUCUUCACUUGCUGUCCUCCAAGGACCCUGACUAGGCAUACUCCACUAUAUAACCUCACAGGCCUGUUGGCUUUGGAGCAUGAACAAGAGUCUGAAUUACAAUCUCCUGAUGCCUCUGAUAUGAAGAGUCCAUAGGAGUCUCAUAUGCUAAGGUCUCUGCCCUAUGGAGGGAGUUCUGAAACUUUGGAGUCCUGAGACCCCUCUCAGUGUGACUCGCUUCAAUCGGGACAGACACUGCUCGGCUUCUUGAUGCUGUUAGGUCCAGUGGAAGUGGAGGGGCUACGGACAACUGUUCUAUGGCUCACCAUACACUUCUACUUUGCUACUGGAUAAAAAUUGCCCUGGAGUCCUGCACAAUCCUCAUAUUUACCACUGAGAACACAGGAACCCAUUACUCAGCCCAGGUAUCUCACUGUUCUACUCCAACACAAAAGUGGGUGGCCUCAAUAGCAGGAAUGUUUUUCUCACUGUUCUCACAGUCUGUUCUGAGGUCUGUGGCCCCGAUGAGGCCCCUGUCUCCAGCCUACAGAUGACUGCCUUGUCAUUGUGUCCUCAUAUGCAAGAAAAGAAUCUCUGAUUUCCUUUCCUUUUCUGCAGGAGCACCAAUCCCGAGUUCUGACCUCAUGACCUCAGUGACACCUAAUUGUCUCCCAAAGGCUCUCUAAAUACUGCCACACCAGAGGUAGGACAUCUACACUUGAAUUUUUGGAGGACUCUCAGUCCCUAGCAGGUCCAUUUCUAAUUCCUCAAGAACAGCCUCGAAAGCACUUUCAGUGGUAAGCAAUUAUUUCAUUCACACCGGUCAUCUCCAUCUCUUAAAGACAGAAUUGUCCCACUGGUAUCUAGGCUUAUGCAAAAAUGGCUCUCAGAAUACAUCUGCAGGAAAGAAUAUAAAAGCAGAAACCAAU
rnacentral:lncRNA from 1 species